GGAGGGUGCAAGCGUUAUCCGGAUUUACUGGGUUUAAAGGGUGCGCAGGCGGAUAUGUAAGUCAGUGGUGAAAUCUUCCCGCUUAACGGGAAAACUGCCGUUGAUACUAUAUAUCUUGAAUGCUGUGGAGGUAAGCAGAAUAUGUCAUGUAGCGGUGAAAUGCUUAGAGAUGACAUAGGAUACCGAUUGCGAAGGCAGCUUACUACACAGAUAUUGACGCUCAUGCACGAAAGCGUGGGGAUCAAACAGGAUUAGAUACCCUGGUAGUCCACGCCCUAAACGAUGAUUACUCGACAUACGCGAUAUACAGUGUGUGUCUGAGCGAAAGCAUUAAGUAAUCCACCUGGGAAGUACGAUCGCAAGA
rnacentral:rRNA from 1 species